UGCCAGACUCCUACGGGAGGCAGCAGUGAGGAAUAUUGGUCAAUGGACGAGAGUCUGAACCAGCCAAGUAGCGUGAAGGAUGACUGCCCUAUGGGUUGUAAACUUCUUUUAUAAAGGAAUAAAACGAGGCACGUGUGCCUUUUUGCAUGUACUUUAUGAAUAAGGAUCGGCUAACUCCGUGCCAGCAGCCGCGGUAAUACGGAGGAUCCGAGCGUUAUCCGGAUUUAUUGGGUUUAAAGGGUGCGUAGGCGGGCUUUUAAGUCAGCGGUAAAAAUUCGGGGCUCAACCCCGUCCGGCCGUUGAAACUGGGGGCCUUGAGUGGGCGAGAAGAAGGCGGAAUGCGUGGUGCAGCGGUGAAAUGCAUAGAUAUCACGCAGAACCCCGAUUGCGAAGGCAGCCUUCCGGCGCCCUACUGACGCUGAGGCACGAAAGUGCGGGGAUCGAACAGGAUUAGAUACCCCUGUA
rnacentral:rRNA from 1 species